CGCCGCCGCGAGCCCCGCCGGCUCGGGCCACCCGCCUCCCCCGGCCGGACCCCCCGCCCGUCCCUUCACCGGCACCGGCAGCUUCCCGGGGGCCGCAGGCCAAGUGCUCCCUCCCCGCGGCGGCUCCGGCGCUGGAGGCUGCAGCGAGCGGCGGAAGCGGCCGCGCUGCAGGGACCGGGGCUGCAGGCUCCCUCGGCCCGGCCCGGGCUUCUCCUCCCCCUCCCGGUCCCCCGGGCCCUUUUGUUUUCCAUGGCACCGACCCACACCAGAUCUCGCCUUCCCAGGCCCUGCGAUCGCAGGGAAAAUAACUCCGGGCCUUCCCCCCCGCGCCCUCCUCCCAGUGAAUUCCUGGUGGAGCCGMGCCGCUCCUGGCCCAGCUCUCCGCCCCGGGAGCCGCCGGCCGCGCCGCUCCCGCCCGGGCAGCACGAUGCCGGGCGCAGCACCCGCAGGCUCUGCCUCCUGGGAGCCCCASCCCCACCUCGGCGUUCGGGCCAAAGGGGACCCUGUCCGCCUGUCCCCCCUCGCAGGGGACAUCUCGGGGGCGCUAGGACCGAGGAUGGGUGGCUUCCGACGGGAGAGGACGAGUCGGCUGCUGAAGGACCCUGCGGGUUGAUAUCGCUGGCGUCCCCGAUCCUGGACUGACGUCAGGGCGGAGAUGCAAGGCCCUGACGGCAGAGCCUCUGGUCCGCGCUUGGGGCUGCCUACACGCACUGUGAGGUGACGUCACCCACUGACCGCACCGGCACGUCCUAAUCAGCUUCAGAGGACAUCUGGGAGGGUUCUGGGAUUCUGAACCAGCAGAGGACACAGAGCAGGCCUGACUUUAGAGGAACUGGCCUAACUCUGCCUGCUUACAUCAGUGAAGCAGAUCAAAGAUGCUGCUCUGGCUAAUUCUACAGGGACCUAGGACUUGCACUUCCUGGAUCAUCACUUGAGGAUUUUCAUCUCAUUUCACCGCCUGGACACCACGGCGGCGGGGAAACAACAGUGUCACGGCUUCCAUACUGGCUGUGGCUGCCCGUGGAGAGGUUUGGAGCUGCCGUUACCGUGCAGCCGCGUUCCCACACAGCCCCGCUUAGCCUGUGCGCAGCUGCGGGAUUCUCGCUGUCUUCUGCAGGGUCUCCGGCCCCUUCACCUGACCGAGCCCCACAGGGGACACAGCCAAGGACCCCGCGCCAGUAGCAGUGGGUGAGAUCUCCAAUGUUGGGGGUGGCCGUAACAAGGAGAGAACUGUGGCGUUAUUUUGCCUCGAGUUCUUUGUUUGGGUGAGGGAUGAUUUGGGSGCAGGAGGGGGUAGAGGUGAAAGCCUCUUUAUUUUGGGAUUGCCACGGGCAGACAGUGCCAUACGGCUUCACCAAGCYUAGGUGUGUUUGGUAGGGUGACUGUGGUCACUACUUAAGUGCUUGUCAGCCCGGUCUGCCUGGUGCCAGGUGCUGURUGUGGUCCAAAGAGCCCCACUCCUCUCUCUCCCCGUGGUCUGCUGUCCUGAGGGAGAGGCCUGUCGUUGCCCAGCUGGAGGAGAGGAAAAGCCGCUGGGGACUUGCAGAGGCUCCUCGCCCUGGGCACUGCGGAAGGAUGCGGAGGGCUGGAGGCUGGGAGACGUGAGGGGCAGGGAGGGGGUGAGCGGCGGGUGGAGG
ensembl:lncRNA